rnacentral:rRNA from 1 species
AGUCUAGCAUGUGCGCGAGUCAUUGGGACUCAAUAAACCUAAAGGCGCAAUGAAAGUGAAAGUCUGUUUACGCGGACUUAGGGAGGAUAGGUGCGUACACAUCUGUGUACAACCUCGCACUCCCGGGGCGUCUCGCACUCAUUGCGAGGUGGGGCGCACCAAGAGCGUACACGCUGGGACCCGAAAGAUGGUGAACUAUGCCUGGUCAGGACGAAGUCAGGGGAAACCCUGAUGGAGGUCCGUAGCGAUUCUGACGUGCAAAUCGAUCGUCGGAACUGGGCUUAGGGGCGAAAGACUAAUCGAACCAUCUAGUAGCUGGUUCCCACCGAAGUUUCCCUCAGGAUAGCUGGCACUAGAUUAUGGAUGAGUCUCAUCCGGUAAAGCGAAUGAUUAGAGGCAUUGGGGUCGAAACGGCCUCAACCUAUUCUCAAACUUUAAAUGGGUGAGAUCUCCGGCUUGCUCGAUUUGUGAAGCCGGAGAUCGGAUCAAUUAGUGCCAAGUGGGCCACUUUUGGUAAGCAGAACUGGCGCUGUGGGAUGAACCAAACGCAGAGUUAAAGCGCCAAAAUCGACGCUUAUGGGAUACCAUGAAAGGCGUUGGUAACUUAAGACAGCANGACGGUGGCCAUGGAAGUCGGAA